CCAGACUCCUACGGGAGGCAGCAGUGGGGAAUAUUGCACAAUGGGGGAAACCCUGAUGCAGCGACGCCGCGUGAGUGAAGAAGUAUUUCGGUAUGUAAAGCUCUAUCAGCAGGGAAGAAAAUGACGGUACCUGACCAAGAAGCCCCGGCUAACUACGUGCCAGCAGCCGCGGUAAUACGUAGGGGGCAAGCGUUAUCCGGAUUUACUGGGUGUAAAGGGAGCGUAGACGGUUGUGCAAGUCAGAAGUGAAAGCCCGGGGCUCAACUCCGGGACUGCUUUUGAAACUGUGAAACUGGAGUGCAGGAGAGGUAAGCGGAAUUCCUGGUGUAGCGGUGAAAUGCGUAGAUAUUAGGAGGAACACCAGUGGCGAAGGCGGCCUGCUGGACGAUGACUGACGUUGAGGCUCGAAAGCGUGGGGAGCAAACAGGAUUAGAUACCCUAGUAU
rnacentral:rRNA from 1 species